AAUUGAAGAGUUUGAUCAUGGCUCAGAUUGAACGCUGGCGGCAGGCCUAACACAUGCAAGUCGAGCGGUAACAGAAAGUAGCUUGCUACUUUGCUGACGAGCGGCGGACGGGUGAGUAAUGCUUGGGAACAUGCCUUGAGGUGGGGGACAACAGUUGGAAACGACUGCUAAUACCGCAUAAUGUCUACGGACCAAAGGGGGCUUCGGCUCUCGCCUUUAGAUUGGCCCAAGUGGGAUUAGCUAGUUGGUGAGGUAAUGGCUCACCAAGGCAACGAUCCCUAGCUGGUUUGAGAGGAUGAUCAGCCACACUGGAACUGAGACACGGUCCAGACUCCUACGGGAGGCAGCAGUGGGGAAUAUUGCACAAUGGGCGAAAGCCUGAUGCAGCCAUGCCGCGUGUGUGAAGAAGGCCUUCGGGUUGUAAAGCACUUUCAGUCAGAGGAAAGGGUGUGAGUUAAUACCUUGCAUCUGUGACGUUACUGACAGAAAAGCACCGGCUAACUCCGUGCCAGCAGCCGCGGUAA
rnacentral:rRNA from 1 species